GACGAACGCUGGCGGCGUGCCUAAUACAUGCAAGUCGAACGCAUUUUCUUUCACCGUAGCUUGCUACACCGAAAGAAAAUGAGUGGCGAACGGGUGAGUAACACGUGGGUAACCUGCCCAUCAGCGGGGGAUAACACUUGGAAACAGGUGCUAAUACCGCAUAAUUCCAUUUACCGCAUGGUAAAUGGAUGAAAGGCGCUUUUGCGUCACUGAUGGAUGGACCCGCGGUGCAUUAGCUAGUUGGUGGGGUAACGGCCUACCAAGGCUGCGAUGCAUAGCCGACCUGGUAGGGUGAUCGGCCACACUGGGACUGAGACACGGCCCAGACUCCUACGGGAGGCAGCAGUAGGGAAUCUUCGGCAAUGGACGCAAGUCUGACCGAGCAACGCCGCGUGAGUGAAGAAGGUUGUCGGAUCGUAAAACUCUGUUGUUAGAGAAGAACAAGGAUGAGAGUGGAAAGUUCAUCCCUUGACGGUAUCUAACCAGAAAGCCACGGUUAACUACGUG
rnacentral:rRNA from 1 species